CAAGUAGAAUUGAUUAAUGAGUACAAGUAAUGGAACACGUGCAUCGCAUGUUUAAAGAAACUCAGAGCCAACAUGAACGCGCUUUCUCUCGUCUCCUCGUUCCCAGUUUCCGGUCCCCCCCAUCCGCCGUGCCGAAAAUCACCUCUGACGGCGGAGGAGGACCAAACGCGACCAAAGUUACAUCAAUCUCCCCGUCUUAUUACCCUCUACUAGGAUACAUAAACCAAUUACCUAAUUCAUUAUCAACAGUUCGAAUCGAAAUACAAAUAUCAAGAACCCUAGAAUUGAAAAUCAUAAAUUAACCCUCACUCGAGCCUAAUUCCACUCCAAUGGCAUAGGCAUAUCACUCCACAGCACUCAAACGUUCAGAUGGCAACAAGAAUCAAAGAGAAUAAGAUGGAUUUGAAGAAAAACCUACCGGAGCGGAUCAGAGAUUGAAGAUGGUAGAAGAAACAGAGAAUUUGCUGUUGUCAUGUAUGUGAAUGGUUUGUUGCACACGACUUAAGGGCUGUAGACUUGUGAUAUGGUUUCAAAGUAAUUCAAGGCAUUACAAACUGUUCAAGGCAUGGCAAAGUUCAAGGCAUGACCAAUACCAAAUUGGAUGCAAAAAUAAGAUUUCUUGCCCAUGAAAUUUUAUGCAAGAGUGAAGAUGUAAUGAGUAUUGUGGUUUAGGUCAUGAAAAGUAGGUUAGUUGACUUUGGUCAACUGGUUGACCAAAAAGUCAAUAGUUGAGCAAAAGUCAACUGUAGGUCAAACUUUCCUUUUCUUUUUGAAUUUUUUUGUAUAAAGGAUGUAAAUGCUAAUUGAAUGAAUGAAUGGACACUUAUUUGAAAUGGUAA